GAUGAACGCUGGCGGCGUGCCUAAUACAUGCAAGUCGAGCGAACAGACGAGGAGCUUGCUCCUCUGACGUUAGCGGCGGACGGGUGAGUAACACGUGGAUAACCUACCUAUAAGACUGGGAUAACUUCGGGAAACCGGAGCUAAUACCGGAUAAUAUAUUGAACCGCAUGGUUCAAUAGUGAAAGACGGUUUUGCUGUCACUUAUAGAUGGAUCCGCGCCGCAUUAGCUAGUUGGUAAGGUAACGGCUUACCAAGGCAACGAUGCGUAGCCGACCUGAGAGGGUGAUCGGCCACACUGGAACUGAGACACGGUCCAGACUCCUAGGGGAGGCAGCAGUAGGGAAUCGUCCGCAAUGGGCGAAAGCCUGACGGAGCAACGCCGCGCGAGUGAUGAAGGUCUUCGGAUCGUAAAACUCUGUUAUUAGGGAAGAACAAAUGUGUAAGUAACUAUGCACGUCUUGACGGUACCUAAUCAGAAAGCCACGGCUAACUACGUG
rnacentral:rRNA from 1 species